ensembl:lncRNA
CUUAGUUUUAUCCCAGCAAAGAAAUACCUCACUGAAUUGAUAGCUGCUUUAUAUCACAAAAUUACACCUUGAUUUUUAUUUGGAAAGUGUAUCUGCUUUUAUAAUGAAAUAGUCCGAGCUGCCUGCCUCCGAUGUAGCUUGUCAACAAAUUCACCUGUUACGCAGGUGAUUUAAAGUCUGUAAGGACCGUAAUAAUGGUGAAAACAACAGUGUCUAGGACAGUUAGCCACAGCUCAGCUCUCCACGUACAUGACAGAGUAUGAAUUACAGUCACAGCUGCUGGCAAGACAGAAAAUAAGAGCAGUUAUUAAAAUGGAUGCUGCUGCUUCCCAUGUGGUCCGAGGAUGUGGCUGCUGCAGGAGGAGCGCGAACUUCCUUUGGGUGCACAUUCAGCAUCUGUCUAUCUUCUCCUUCUGAGGCCGUUGGUCAAGGGUUGCCACUUAGCCCGGGGGAAGAAAAGCACAUGUGACACUGGAUCCAGUCAGGGCUAAUGGUCAUUACUCGAACCGACGACCCCCUCCAUCCGCCACCUUCAGAGGUUCAGAAACCCACUUCCUGGUACUCUUGUCUCAAGGUGCCUCUAUGCACACACCACACAAACAGGAAACAGCCCUCUUUCAUCUGCCUCAGACUACACGCACUUUAAGUUCUUCUAAAAGGUUGUAGCGAAAAAGGAAAGGUGUACAUGCGCCGUGCUCACCUGGUUUAACUUGAGAAAGCUUUCCCUUAAGUAUGUUUUUCUUCCCCUCUGAUCUUA